rnacentral:rRNA from 1 species
UGGGGAAUUUUGGACAAUGGGGGAAACCCUGAUCCAGCCAUCCCGCGUGUGCGAUGAAGGCCUUCGGGUUGUAAAGCACUUUUGGCAGGAAAGAAACGUCAUGGGUUAAUACCCCGUGAAACUGACGGUACCUGCAGAAUAAGCACCGGCUAACUACGUGCCAGCAGCCGUGGUAAUACGUAGGGUGCAAGCGUUAAUCGGAAUUACUGGGCGUAAAGCGUGCGCAGGCGGUUCGGAAAGAAAGAUGUGAAAUCCCAGAGCUCAACUUUGGAACUGCAUUUUUAACUACCGGGCUAGAGUGUGUCAGAGGGAGGUGGAAUUCCGCGUGUAGCAGUGAAAUGCGUAGAUAUGCGGAGGAACACCGAUGGCGAAGGCAGCCUCCUGGGAUAACACUGACGCUCAUGCACGAAAGCGUGGGGAGCAAACAGG